AAUACCUACCCACCCAAAAUUUCUCUGAAUUUUAUUCACUAACAUCUAAUACCCGCCAACCCAAAAUUUGCCAAAAUUUCACUCGACUUCUUCGAAUCUUCUUCACUCCAUUUUCACAAUAUUCAGUUCUUCACCCAAAUUUCAGCUGCAAACUUCCUUUUCAAUUGUUCCUUAUCUCAAUAGUCAUAUUCUACAUUAGAUUUUCUCAAUCUUCACUCAAAUUUCAUCUUGAAAGUGUGAUUUCUAUUUAGGGUUUGAAUCUUCACUCCAUUUUAGCCAAAUCUAUUCUUGCUAUUUUAGCUCAAAUUUCGCAAUUUUAGGCCUUGGCUCAGAUUCAGUAGGUUCUGUAGAAAAGAUAAGUACUUAUGGAUUCCACAAGUGUGCGUAAGAAAAAAAAAGAGGUCCAACUAAAAUGAAGAACAUUGCUUUGAAUGUUGAUAAUCAGAUUGAAGUCAAAUUCAAAGACAAAGGUCAGCCUAUUGAGGAAGAAUCUAUCAAGUUGUCUUCAUUCUUGGGAUCUCUUGGGUGAGAAAUUGUACCUUAUACAUUUUCUAAUUGGAGAAAGGUUCUUCUGACAUGAAAGAAAUAUUAUGGAAAUGUGUUCAGCUUAGGAAAGAUGUAAGUUGGAAGAAGAAUGGCAGAAACACUAUGUGUUUAUGCAGAUAGGUGCACUUUGGAGAGCUUCAAAGUCAAGGCUGGUUAGCAAAAUUAAGAUGGCCAAAAAUGAAGAAGAAAUAAUGGCACUCAAACCUGAUAACAUCAAUAGUAUUAAUGCAUGGAAAAAGUUUGUGGAAGAAAAAACAGGUUCAAAGUUUAAGGUAAUUAUAUCACUGCACACAUUUGGUCAUUAUAUUAUAUAUGCAUAUGAGUAAUGUUUACUUUAUUUUAGAUAUAAGAUCACUGAAUUAUUCCAAGAUAAAAGUGAUGAAAUCAAAAAAGGAGGAAAAAUUAUACUCCAUUAACAGGUGGUCAAAGGGGAUAUGCCUACAUGAUUGAGGAUAUCGUAA